AUACGAAGGGGGCAAGCGUUGUGCGGAAUAACUGGGCGUAAAGCGCACGUAGGCGGAAUGUUAAGUUAGAGGUGAAAUCCCAGGGCUCAACCCUGGAACUGCCUUUAAUACUGGCAAUCUAGAGACCGAGAGAGGUGAGUGGAAUUCCGAGUGUAGAGGUGAAAUUCGUAGAUAUUCGGAGGAACACCAGUGGCGAAGGCGGCUCACUGGCUCGGUACUGACGCUGAGGUGCGAAAGCGUGGGGAGCAAACAGGAUUAGAUACCCGGGUAGUCC
rnacentral:rRNA from 1 species